GACGAACCGUGCGAACGUUGUUCGGAAUCACUGGGCUUAAAGGGCGCGUAGGCGGGUUCUCAAGUCCGGGGUGAAAGCCCCCAGCUCAACUGGGGAAGUGCCUUGGAUACUGGGGGCCUCGGAGGGAGGUAGGGGCGUGCGGAACCUCCGGUGGAGCGGUGAAAUGCGUAGAUAUCGGAAGGAACACCGGUGGCGAAAGCGGGCGCGCUGGACCUCUUCUGACGCUGAGGCGCGAAAGCCAGGGGAGCAAAGCGGGGAUUAACAAAC
rnacentral:rRNA from 1 species